rnacentral:lncRNA from 1 species
ACUAGGAACUAUAGACAAUAGUUCUCACCCUCGUGUUGUUUUUGGGGGUAUAGGUUCACACGUGAGCGGCGCGGCGGCGCGAGGCGAGGGCGUAGCUCCAUAGUUAGCGCCCUACCACCGAGACCAGAGAUAGCAGUAUCCUAAGUCGGCUUAGUUUAGGAGUAUAGAAAUGAAAUGAUCAAUGUUGUAAUAAUUAUGUUGAAAACUUGAUUGUAUUUGGAAGCUAAAAAGAGACUUAAAGAAUGUAAAAUGUGAUGUAAAAUGUAGAAUUUGAGUUGAAUGAUUGUAAUAACUUAGUUGUAUUUAUGUUUUUGAUA